rnacentral:tRNA from 1 species
GAGACGCUAGCUCAACGGCGUAGAGCAGCCGGUUCUUACCCGGCCGAUCAGGGUUCGAUUCCCUGGCGUUUCA